GCUGGGCGUGGUGGCUCAUGCCUGUAAUCCUAGCACUUUGGGAGGCCGAGGUGGGUGGAUCACCUGAGGUCAGGAGUUCAAGACCAGCCUGGCCAACAUGGUGAAACCCCAUCUCUA
rnacentral:SRP_RNA from 2 species